rnacentral:snRNA from 1 species
AGCUUUGCGCAGUGGCAGUAUCGUAGCCAGUGAGGUGAAUCCGAGGCACGAUUAUUGCUGUAAAUUUUUGGGGGUUGGACUAGAUGACCUCUAGGGUUCCCUUCCAACCCGAAACAUUCUAUGAUUCUAUGAUCUGCAACUGAAGGUGAAGAGUAUGAAAAGGUUCAUAAACC